rnacentral:rRNA from 1 species
UACGUAGGGCGCAAGCGUUAUCCGGAAUUAUUGGGCGUAAAGAGCUCGUAGGCGGUUUGUCGCGUCUGCCGUGAAAGUCCGGGGCUCAACUCCGGAUCUGCGGUGGGUACGGGCAGACUAGAGUGAUGUAGGGGGAGACUGGAAUUCCUGGUGUAGCGGUGAAAUGCGCAGAUAUCAGGAGGAACACCGAUUGCGAAGGCAGCUCGCUGGGACGUAACUGACGCUGAGACGCGAAAGCGUGGGGAGCAAACAGG